AGGACGAACGCUGGCGGCGUGCUUAACACAUGCAAGUCGAGCGGAAAGGCCCUUCGGGGUACUCGAGCGGCGAACGGGUGAGUAACACGUGAGCAACCUGCCCUUAGCUUCGGGAUAGCUCCGGGAAACCGGAAUUAAUACCGAAUAUGAUUUUUGCUGACAUCAGCAGAAGUGGAAAGUUUUUCGGCUAGGGAUGGACUCGCGGCCUAUCGGCUAGUUGGUGAGGUAACGGCCCACCAAGGCGACGACGGGUA
rnacentral:rRNA from 1 species